UUUUUUUUUUUUUUUUUUUUUUUUUUUUGUUCAGCUAAUCUUCGAUAUGGUAAAACUAACAGCUAAGGUAG
rnacentral:ribozyme from 1 species